rnacentral:rRNA from 1 species
GAUGAACGCUGGCGGCGUGCCUAAUACAUGCAAGUCGAGCGAACAGACGAGGAGCUUGCUCCUCUGACGUUAGCGGCGGACGGGUGAGUAACACGUGGAUAACCUACCUAUAAGACUGGGAUAACUUCGGGAAACCGGAGCUAAUACCGGAUAAUAUAUUGAACCGCAUGGUUCAAUAGUGAAAGACGGUUUUGCUGUCACUUAUAGAUGGAUCCGCGCCGCAUUAGCUAGUUGGUAAGGUAACGGCUUACCAAGGCAACGAUGCGUAGCCGACCUGAGAGGGUGAUCGGCCACACUGGAACUGAGACGCGGUCCAGACUCCUACGGGAGGCAGCAGUAGGGAAUCGUCCGCAGUGGGCGAAAGCCUGACGGAGCAACGCCGCGUGAGUGAUGGAGGUCUUCGGAUCGUAAAACUCUGUUAUUGGGGAAGAACAGAUGUGUAAGUAACUAUGCACGUCUUGACGGUACCUAAUCAGAAAGCCCCGGCUAACUACGUG